rnacentral:rRNA from 1 species
UACAGAGGUGGCAAGCGUUGUUCGGAAUUACUGGGCGUAAAGGGCGCGUAGGCGGCCUACUAAGUCAGACGUGAAAUCCCCCGGCUUAACCUGGGAACUGCGUCUGAUACUGGAAGGCUUGAGGAUGGGAGAGGGAUGUAGAAUUCCAGGUGUAGCGGUGAAAUGCGUAGAUAUCGGGAGGAACACCAGUGGCGAAGGCGACUUCCUGGCCUGUUCUUGACGCUGAGGCGCGAAAGCUAGGGUAGCAAACGGG